UACGUAGGGUGCGAGCGUUGUCCGGAAUUAUUGGGCGUAAAGGGCUCGUAGGCGGUUUGUCACGUCGGGAGUGAAAACACACAGCUUAACUGUGUGCUUGCUUCCGAUACGGGCAGACUAGAGGUAUGCAGGGGAGAACGGAAUUCCUGGUGUAGCGGUGAAAUGCGCAGAUAUCAGGAGGAACACCGGUGGCGAAGGCGGUUCUCUGGGCAUUACCUGACGCUGAGGAGCGAAAGUGUGGGGAGCGAACAGG
rnacentral:rRNA from 1 species